rnacentral:rRNA from 1 species
GAUGAACGCUGGCGGCGUGCCUAAUACAUGCAAGUCGAGCGAACAGACGAGGAGCUUGCUCCUCUGACGUUAGCGGCGGACGGGUGAGUAACACGUGGAUAACCUACCUAUAAGACUGGGAUAACUUCGGGAAACCGGAGCUAAUACCGGAUAAUAUAUUGAACCGCAUGGUUCAAUAGUGAAAGACGGUUUUGCUGUCACUUAUAGAUGGAUCCGCGCCGCAUUAGCUAGUAGGUAAGGUAACGGCUUACCAAGGCGACGAUGCGUAGCCGACCUGAGAGGGUGAUCGGCCACACUGGAACUGAGACACGGUCCAGACUCCUACGGGAGGCAGCAGUAGGGAAUCUUCCGCAAUGGGCGAAAGCCUGACGGAGCAACGCCGCGUGAGUGAUGAAGGUCUUCGGAUCGUAAAACUCUGUUAUUAGGGAAGAACAAAUGUGUAAGUAACUAUGCACGUCUUGACGGUACCUAAUCAGAAAGCCACGGCUAACUACGUG